rnacentral:rRNA from 1 species
GCGACCCCAGGACGGGCGAGACCACCCGCCGAG